GACGAACGCUGGCGGCAUGCCUAACACAUGCAAGUCGAACGAGAAGGUCGGGCUUAGUGGCGACCGGGUGCGUAAAGCGGGGGGGAAUGCCCUUAGGAUCGGAAUAACUCUCCGGAAGGGGUGCUGAUACCGGAGACUAACUCCGGACCGAAGAGUUGUCGCCUUUGGAUGGGGCCGAGUUGGAUUAGCUUGUUGGUAGGGUAAACGCCUACAACGGCGACGUGCCGUAGCUGGUCUGAGAGGCUGAUCAGCCACACUGGGACUGGGACACGGCCCCGACUCCUGCGGGAGGCGGCAAUGGUUAAUAUAGGACCAUGGGCGUGAUGCUGAUCCAGCGCGUCCGCGAUAGCGAUGAUGGCCUUGUGGUUUUAAUGCGCUAUUACCCGGGCUGAUAAUGACAGUACCUGGAUAAUAAGCUCCGGCUAACUCCGUG
rnacentral:rRNA from 1 species